AGUCUGACCUGCCCAAUGAUGAUUUUUAAUGGCUGCAGUAUCCUGACUGUACAAAGGUAGCAUAAUAAUUUGUUUUAUAAUUGAAGAAUGGAAUGAAUGGUUUGACAAGGGUGUGGUUGUCUCUUAUAUAUUUGUUUGAAAUUAAUUUUCAAGUUAAAAGGCUUGAAUUAGAUUAAAGGACGAGAAGACCCUAUUGAGCUUAAAUUAGUAAUGAUGUUAGUAAAAAAUAGGGUUGAGAUUUAUUGUAGAGUUAUAUAGUUUUAGUUGGGGCGACUAAGGAACAAGUGAAGCUUCCUUUAGUGUUUUAUAAAGUUGUUUAUUGAUCCAAUUAUUUUGAAUUAAGAUCAAGCUACCAUAGGGAUAACAGCGUUAUCUUUUUUGAGAGUUCUAAUCGAAAGAAAGGAUUGCGACCUCGAUGUUGGAUUAGGAUUUAAUAAGGGUUGUAGAAGCUCUUAUGGUUAGUCUGUUCGA
rnacentral:rRNA from 1 species